rnacentral:rRNA from 1 species
CCUANGGGGGGCAGCAGUGGGGAAUCUUGCGCAAUGGGCGAAAGCCUGACGCAGCGACGCCGCGUGGGGGAUGAAGCUUCUCGGAGUGUAAACCCCUUUCGACCCGGACGAAAUGCCCCGCAAGGGGAAUUGACGGUACGGGUAUAAGAAGCCCCGGCUAACUACGUGCCAGCAGCCGCGGUAAGACGUAGGGGGCCAGCGUUGCUCGGAAUUACUGGGCGUAAAGGGUUCGUAGGCGGUGCGGUAAGUCGAGAGUGAAAUCUCCGGGCUUAACCCGGAGUCUGCUCCCGAAACUGCCGUGCUCGAGUGCUGGAGAGGCGAGUGGAAUUGCAGGUGUAGCGGUGAAAUGCGUAGAUAUCUGCAGGAACACCAGUGGCGAAGGCGGCUCGCUGGACAGCAACUGACGCUGAGGAACGAAAGCUAGGGGAGCAAACAGGAUUAGAUACCCCANUANUC